rnacentral:rRNA from 1 species
ACUCAAAUGAAUAGACGGGGACUUGCACAAGCAGUGGAUUAUGUGGUUUAAUUCGAUGGUAAACGAAGAACCUUACCAGGGUUAGAAAUCCAUACGAAAGCCCGAGGAAACUCGGGGCCUCGCAAGACGUAUGGACAGGUGAUGCAUGGCCGUCGUCAGUUCGUGGUUUGAAUUGUUCCCUUAAGUGGGGUAACGAACGCAACCCUCGUUGACUGUUACAAGUGUCAGUCGAGACCGCCCCGACCUGUGUGCACAAACUAUGUUUGUGCCCAGUGGUCGGGGAGGAAGGAGAGGAUGACGCCAGGUCAGCAUGUCCCUUUGAUAUCCUGGGCUACACACAUAAUACAAUGGCCGCUACAGAGCGCAGCGACGGGGCAACCCUGAGCUAAUCGUCAAAAGCGGCCCCAGUUCGGAUUGGAGUCUGCAACUCGACUCCAUGAAGUUGGAAUUGCUAGUAAUCACAGGUCAGCUAAACUGUGGUGAAUACGUUCUCAAGUCUUGUACACACCGCCCGU